rnacentral:lncRNA from 1 species
GGUUGAGAGGUGGGAGGCCCUAUGAACAAUAGGCCUUGCUUUGAUUCUUUUGGCCCAUCCUCUUUGGGCCAAUCCUCUUUGGGCCAAAAUCUCCCUAUUUUGGGCCUGGGGCUUUCAAUUGAGGUUUCUUGUGCUAGCGGUCCUAGCCUCCUAGGAGCACUUUUAAGAGGCCCACUUUGCCAACUGAUGAGGUUAAGGUUCUCCAAGGGCUCCUUCUAGACUCGUACAAGUUAUCAAAAGAUCAGAGCCUUGAGAUAGGUUCGCCUUUUGCAGAUAACUCUUUUGGUGGAAGCGGAUGACUUUUCGAAUGGUUUUGAAGGUAAGUCUCCAUCUUGUGCAUUGGUGGUGAGGGAAAAAUCUUCUGCUUCCAUCUUGUUCUUCUUCUUUGAUCAAAGAGGGGGGCGUUACCCUGGUUGUGGCUAAUAGCCUUGCUUCGCAAAGGGACUUGAUCGAGGGGAUUUCAGUUAAGGGCAAAGGUGAUGGGUGUGUGGGUUUGUUUCCCAAUAAGGGUUUGGAUUCAAUUCCCCCAAGGUCUCUUUCUUAGAGCGUCAAGGGAGCAAACCAAACUUUGUGUAAUGAAGGGGAUCUUUUUAAGAGAGGGCUUGCCCAACAAGGAUUUAGAGGGUGUGAAGGUUGUGUCCAAUGAAAGUCUUAACAAUCAAUCUUUCCAAAAGUUCGUCUCCUUCAGCGAGUUUCUGGGGUUGUCGAUGGAAGGCUUCGAGAAAGAAGUUGAGUCCCUUUUGAGAAAGCCAAAAGUUAGAAAGGGUCGCAAAGUGGUUAGGGGAUUCUUAUCAGGCUGCAGGGUUAGGGGAUGGGUAGGAGAGGGGUUUCAAGUUACCCACUUGGCAUUCGCUGAUGAUACUAUGGUGUUUUGUGAGGCUUCCACAGAGCAAAUGGUCUUUUUGAGCUAGAUUUUAAUGUGGUUUGAAGCCAUUUCAGGGCUGAAAAUCAACUUGGACAAGAGUGAAAUCCUUCUGGUAGGAAGGGUUGAGAAUGUAUUGGAGUUGGCCCUUGAACUUGGCUGCAAGGUGGGGGCACUGCCAUCCUCUUUCUUGGGGCUCCCCUUAGGGGUUGCUCAUAAAUCAGCGAUGGUUUGGGAUGGGGUGGAGGAGAGAUUCCAAAAGAGGCUUGUCAUGUGGAAAAGACAAUUUAUUUCUAAAGAAGGGAGGAUCACCCUCAUUCAGAGCACUUUGUCAAGUAUGCCCAUAUAUUUCAUGUCCCUUUUGCGUAUGCCACAAGUGGUUAGAUUGAGACUAGAGAAAAUUCAAAGGGACUUUUUUUGGGGUGGGGGAGGGUUGGAGAAGAAGCCUCAUCUUGUAAAGUGGGAGAUUGUUUGUUUUGAUAAAAGGAAGGGUGGUUUGGAUGUUAGAAAUCUAUAUAACCUCAAUAGAGCCCUUUUGGGUAAGUGGAGUUGGUGUUUCACGGAAAAAAGGGGGACUCUAUGAAAACAAGUGAUUAGUAGGAAGUAUGAAGUGGAAGAAGGGGGGUGGUGUACCCAAGAAGUAAGGAAGGGAUAUGGUGUGGGGUUUUGGAAAGAAAUAAGGAAGGAAUUUUUUUUUUGAUAAACCAAGAGAAGAAUUCAUAUUAAAACACGCCAAAAUAGGGGGUGCUCCCUAUGUACACCGGCAGUAUACAAAGAAAGCCUCACCCAAGGCAACAAAGGAGAAACAAAAACCUAGAAAUGCUAAAGAUGACCAACAAAUCAAACACCCAACACAUUCAUAAAAGAGAGAUAGUCCACGUCCAUGAACUGUUGAGACCAUUCAAGAAGAGACNNNNNNNNNNNNNNNNNNNNNNNNNNNNNNNNNNNNNNNNNNNNNNNNNNNNNNNNNNNNNNNNNNNNNNNNNNNNNNNNNNNNNNNNNNNNNNNNNNNNCUCUCCCCAAAUACACCAAAACAAACAAAUAGGCGUCAUUUUCCAAACUACACUCCUCUUCUUUUCUAGGCCCUUAAUUUUCCAUUCAAGAAGCAAAUUUCUCACUGAGUUCGGGAACACCCACACCACCCCAAAAGAAGAGAGCACCACAGUCCAAAGCUCCCUUGUCUUACCGCAAUGAAUUAGAAUAUGAUCCGCCAAUUCCUCAUUCUCUUUACAAAGAUUGUAUCUAUUAACCAUAGACCAACCCCUCCUCAUUAACAUAUCAACAAUAGAAAUUUUACCCCAAACAGCUUCACAAGCAAAAAAACGAGUUCUUAAAGGGGCACACAAACCCCAUACCUCCUUUGCUGGAAAUAAGGGGUUGUUCUCCACCUUUAAAGACCUAUAAUAAGAUUUAACACUGAACUUUCCUUUAAUGAAGAGCAAUCUUGUUUUCUCCGUGGGGUAUGGUAGAAGAGUGAGAUUUUGGGAGGAUAGGUGAUGUUGUGAUGACACAUUAAGCCUUUCCUUCCCUUCAUUGUUUGCAUUGGUGGCAUUUAAAGAGGAGUGGGUGGCAACGUUGUGGGAUGCUUCGGGGGAGGAGGAGGGCUGGAAUCCACAUUUUUCUAGGCCGUUUAAUGAUUGGGAGUUGGAGACGGUGGAGAGAUUCCUUGUCACCUUACAAGGGAAGAAGGUGCACACUAAUAUGGAGGAUAGGGUUUAGUGGAAAGAGGCCAAGGAUGGUUUGUUUUUUGUUAAAGCCUGUUAUAGCACUUUAGAGGGCAGCAGUAUAGUCCCGUUUCCGAACAGCAUUAUUUGGAGCUCUUGUGCUGCCCCUAAGGUUGGUUUUUCUUUUUUUUUUUGGGAAGCCCCAUGGGGUAAAGUUUUAACCUUGAAUCAACUAAAGAAGAGGAGUUGGUCACUCCCAAAUAGAUGUUUCCUUUGUUGUGCUGCUGAAGAGACCAUUGAUCACUUUCUAAUUCACUGCACCAAGACUAAGGUUUUGUGGGACUUUUUGUUUACCCUUUUUAGUGUGUUAUGGGUUCUUCCUUUGUCAGUUAAAGAGGUCCUUUGGUGGCAUGGCUCUUUUGUGGGCAAGAAGAGAAGAAAGGUUUGGAGAGCAGCCCCUUUGUGUCUCUUUUGGAUGGUUUGGAAGGAAAUAAAUAGGAUUGCUUUUGAAAAUGAGUAGUUCUCGAUUCAAAUGUUGAAAUAUUCUUUUGUUAGUAACUUUUGGUUGUGGGCUAAGCCGUGUAUAGAUGAAGGGUCUAAUUCUUUAAUCAACUUUUUUGACUGGUUGAGCUCUAGUUGAGGGCAAGUGUGUUUUUUUGAACCCCUCUUUCUUUAGUUUUUGUCUUUUGGCGUAUGUUGUUGUAUACUUCCUGUAUGCUUUGGGUUGUCCGUUAGGCACCCUCUUCUUAUUAAUAUAUACUUUUUCUGUGUCUUUGCCUAUCAAAAAAAACAAAGGUCGCAAAGUGGUGGAAUCAACUGCUAAGAGAAAACCUUCCUCUGCCUCUCACACUGAACGAGAGCUUCGAAGUGCUCCAUUAAUUUCAAUCAGUUAAGUGGAAAAGGGAGCAAUUGCAGGAAGGGUGGGUAGGAGUUGGUCUUUGAGUGUCCUAGCUAGUGCUAAGGUGAGGGGUUGGAAGGUGGAGAGGUAGGUGGAAAGGAAGAGGUUGUUUUCUCAUUGUCUACUACUACUUGUAAGGGUUUCGUAGUUUGGUUUGUUUUGCAAGGGGUCUUGUGCAUCUGCCUUAGGUAGAGGCUUGGGGGAGUGGUCCUUGGUGAAGCAAGUAGUUGAUGCUUUGGACUAGGUUAAGUAGUUUGGGAGCCUAUUAGUCUCACAAGCUUUGUCCUUGUUUUGGGCCCCUAGUUUUGGGAUGGCUUGUUGUUUCUUUUUCUUUCUUUUGCUUUUUGGCAUUCCUUGUAUGCUUCAUGUGUACCUAGUGCACCUUUUCUUGCACUUUAAUUAUAUUUGCUUUUUAGUUAUCAAAAAAAAAAAAAAAAGACGAUCAUCUUAUGUUACAUUUCUACUUGCUUUAAACCAAUUAAAUAAAUUCUUUAUCUUCCUACAACAAAAUCUAAGAGACCUUCCUUCCUCCACUACCUGAAUCUGCAACUUGACUAGAUUUCCACAACCUUGUGACAAAAAUAAAACGGAAAAUUUAGUAGUACAACUAGGAGUUCACUAAUUCUUCAUUAGAGAAUUUUACAAUAAUCAAGAAACAACAUCCACAAACAAGUAGUCAAAGAUUAGCAUGUUAAGAGGAAUGAGUAGUAGCACAGAAGAGAAUUUUAAAAAUAAAAAAUAAAAGUAAAGGUAGUUUUAGUCUUUUUUUUUUUUUGAUAAGCGAGAGCAGAAUAUAUAUUAAAGAAGGCCAAAAGGCCGCACCGCAUACAGGAAGUAUACAAAGCAGCCACAAGGCCAAAAAAACAAAAACAGGACCACCUCACCAGCCCUUAGGGGACUGCUACCCACUCCAAGAAGCCUAAAAGUGAAGAAGACACAUCUCCCCUAUACAACUUAGCCCAACUCCACAAACUACAAACAAAAGAAUUCUUAAGAGUCUGAAUAGCCAAAAAACCCCCUCUAAAAGCUAACCUAUUUCUUUCCUUCCACAUCGUCCAAAAAAUACAUAACGGAAUGGUCUUCCAUAUCUUCUUCCUUUUUUUACCCACAAAAGGGCCCCGCCAACAGAACAACGCCUCUUUGACCUUCUCUAGAAACACCCACUGAACCCCAAAUAAGGCAAAGGCGAUUUCCCAUAGGGCCUUAACCACUGUACAGUGUAAAAGAAUGUGAUUUACAUUUUCCUCUUCACAACCACCCAAAAAACAACGAUUUGGAAGCUGCCACCCACGCUUUUGCAGCCUAUCCAACGUGAGGAUUUUUUCCCAAGUAGCCUCCCACGCAAAAAAAGCCACUUUGGUUGGGACCUUAUCCACCCAAAUAUUUUUUCCCGGAAAGACGAGAGGAUUAGGGGCUGCCAGCAGAUUGUAAGCCACCCGAAUCCGAAAACUGGCAGAAUCCCCUCCUUUCCAAAGCACUGAGUCCUCCUCUGGGGUUACCCUGAUGUCCCUUAGCAAGAAGAGCAAGUCUUCUAUUAACACCAGCUCUCAAUCGUUAGAAUCUCUAGCCAAUCUGAGAUUCCACCCUCCUUGGCCAAGCCUUGGGUCCCACACAUUAUUCACCAAUUCAUUACUGCACACUGCCAAGGCAAAACUCUGGGGAAACGCUUGGGACAGCGCUUCGUUGCCGCACCAAAGAUCAGUCCAGAACAUGAUCUUUGUCCCCCUCCCCACCUUGAACUUCAUGUUAUUCCAACACCAGCUCAUCUCCUUCAAAAUCUCCUUCCAAACUCCCACUCCAAAGGGCCCCCGAACUUCCUUAGAUUUCCAACCACAACCCUCCAACCCAUGCUUCACCCCGAUCACCUUCUUCCACAAGACGUCCUUUUCAACGGCAAAUCUCCAAAUCCACUUGCCCAAUAAGGCCUUGUUCAGUAACCCCAUCCUCCUAAUACCAAGACCCCCCUUCUCCUUUUGAGUACACACCACCUUCCAAUUAAUUAAAUGGAUUUUCCUACCCGUGCUUCCCCCUCCCCAAAGAAAAUCUCUUUGUAAUUUCUCAAGCCUUUUAACCACUGACUUAGGCAUUCUAAAGAUGGACAUUUGAUAAAUGGGAAUGCUGACCAAGGUACUCUUAAUAAGGGUGAUUCUCCCGCCCUUAGACAAGCAUUGUCUUUUCCAAAGGGCAAGUCUUCUCCUCAUUCUUUCCUCCACCCCGUCCCACGUGGACAAGGCCUUGUGCCGGGACCCAAGGGGCAACCCCAAAUAUUUAACCGGAAAGCUUCCAAUUCUGCAGCCUAAUUCCACCGCCAUUUCCUCAAUAUUAUCAAUCUCCCCAACUGGAAUAAGCUCACUCUUGGCCAGAUUGAUCCUAAGCCCAGAAGCCGCCUCGAACCACGCCAAAAUCCAUCCAAGAUGAGUUAAUUGAUCCUUACUAGCCUCGCAGAGAAUAGUGUCGUCUGCAAAGAGCAGAUGACACACCAUAAUCUCCGCAUCCCCUCUACCUCUUAGCCUACAACCAGAAAUGAAGUUCCCCUGCACUGCCAGCCUAAUGAGUACACUCAGCACUUCCAUGCCCAAGAUAAAAAGAUAAGAAGAAAUUGGGUCUCCUUGACGCAGGCCCUUAGAGCUGGAGAAGAAGCCUUCUGGUACCCCGUUAAUAAGGACAGAAAAUUUUGCCGUUGAAAAGCAGCACCACAUCCAUUCCAUCCAGUGCGACCCAAAGCCCAUCUUUUUCAAGACCUUUAUAAGGAAGCUCCAGCUGAUGCUGUCGUAGGCUUUCUCAAUAUCCAAUUUACACACCAGCCCCUUCUCUUUCCUCUUCUGCCAAUAGUCAACCACCUCAUUAACUAUAAGAGAGGCGUCUAGAAUUUGUCUCCCCCUCACAAACGCGUUCUGAUCAGCCAAAACCACCUUAUCUAACACCAUUUUCAGCCUAUUGGCCAACACUUUGGCCAUAAGCUUGUACAACCCCCCUAAUAGACUGAUAGGCCGAAACUCCCCUAGAUCCUCAGCCUCACCUUUUUUUGGAAUGAUGACCAAGAAUGUAGAAUUCAGACCUUUGGCAAAAGACUUCUGAUCGUAAAAUUCCUUGAAUAGCUCUACUACCUCCUCCUUAACGAAGUCCCAACAAGCUUGCCAAAAGGCCACGGUAAACUCAUCCGGGCCUGGGGCCUUAUCGCCAUUCAUAUCCAUCAAAGCAGAGAAUAUUUCUUCUUCAGUAAAGGGGACCUCCAAAGCUUCAGCUUCACUAAGGUCAAGACUUUUAAGAUGCAGACCCUCUAAGUCGGCUCUCCACCCUGGGUCUUCCCUUAGCUGGUGCUGAAAGGCCUUCACAAUCCCCUCCCUCACCUCCUGCUCCUCAACCAGUUCCACCCCAUUUAUUUUAAUUCUGUCCAAAAAGUUAUUUCUCCAAUUGGCACUAGCCAUCUUGUGAAAAAACCCUGUAUUCUUAUCCCCUUCUCUAAGCCACAACUCCCUAGACACUUGUCUCCAAUGGGCUUCUUCCAAAUGAACCCACUUUUUGAAGUUCUCCUUAGCUUCAUUUUUCAGAUCCGUUUCUCUUUCUGAGAGGUCCCUACCACUUUCCACCCUAUCCCAAAAUUCAAUUUGCUGAAGGGCUGAGCUUUUGUUCACUUCCACUCUACCAAAAACAUCUCUGUUCCACACUUUAAUUUUCUCCUUCAUCUCCUUCAUUUUAGCAACCAUUCUAAAACUAGCCCUUCCUCCUCUUGCCCCUCCCUGCCACCAUUCCCGAAUGAGCUCCUUAAACCCAUCCACCUUGAGCCACAUGUUUUCAAACCUGAACGGAGAGGGUCCCCGACUCAUCCCGCCCCCCUUCAACAAUAUGGGGAAGUGGUCAGAGGUAGGCCUAGGAAGCCUACACCGAACAGCCCCCCUGAAAAUAUCUAGCCAACACUGGGUUACCAGGAAGCGAUCCAAUCUAGCCCAAGUCUGGUUGCUCCUGCCCCCGCUCCAAGAAAACACACCCCCCUGCAAAGGAAGAUCAAUGAGAGCAAGAUCAUCCACCACCUGAGCAAACCUACGCAUUGCUCCAUUAAGGCUACCCUGCCUGCUCCUAUCCCUUUGAGAUAAAGUGACAUUAAAGUCCCCUCCUAAACACCAAGGCUCGUCCCAUAUUCCCCUUAUCGCUCCUAACUCCUCCCACAAAGCCUCCCUCUCCUUCCUGUUACACGGCCCAUAAACUCCAGUAAAGAUCCAAACCAAUCCAUCUUCAACAUUCUUCAAUCUACACGAUAUAGAGAAAUUACCCACCUCCAUCUCCAACAGCUCUAAAGAUCUCUUAUCCUAGCAAACCAAAAUACCACCCGCUGAGCCUUGGGCUCCCAUAGCUCCCCAAUUGAGAAACCUCCCAGAACCCAGACUCCUCACCACCCCCUCUGUCAUAGUCUGAAUUUUCGUCUCCUGUAUACAAACCCCUUUGACUCCUGAUCAUGGCCUUGAUCACUUUCCUUUUGGAGCUAUCAUUAGCUCCCCGAACAUUCCAACUCACCAAUCUUAACUUCAUAAGACAGCUGGAGACUGGCCCCCUCUUCCUUGCACAAUACCUUUCUGCUUCCUCCCCCCUUCAUAAUUGAUGGAACAUUCAAGUCUCUUCAGUUCCCUCUCAAAUUUUGAAUUUUCUAAAAGAGAUUUGUUGUGCACUUUUUCCCUUCUUUUUCUGAUUUUGACCAUGAAAUCCAAAAUAUCCAUCUCUAAUCCCACUGUUGAAAACCCCAAGAACUGACUGAACCUUGCCAACUCACUCUCCUCCCAGCUGGCCUCCCUCCAAUCCCUGACUUCUGGAACCGACUCACCAGCAAGACAGAGAUCCUUUCCACUGGCCUCCCUCCAAUCGCACCAUUAUUAUCUUCCAAUAGCUCCCAGCGGUCCACAGUCUUCAGCGCUGAAGACAUCCUUCCAAUCAUCCUGCGGUCCAGAAAUUCCCUCUGGGAUGCGUUCAAAACCGCCCCAGAACGGUCGUAAUACUCCCCCGAUGGAGUCCGACCAGAAAAAGAAGAAAGGGGAGAAGGAGAAACACACACCAACGGCCCAAAGAAGUUAGAGGCAUUCCCAUACCUCAAGGCUUCCUCCAUUAGAGCGUCAUCUGUCUUCGAGUUCUCCUCCAAGCUUUGCAUCUCAGCCGAAGGCCUCCACAGUCCCUCCAUCACCAGUAUAAACGACCAGGACUGAUCAAGGCCCCCCACAGAGCUUGGGCCUGACCCAUUUAGGGAACGGGCCCCCCUCAGAUGGGCGUCGUCCACGUUAAAGUCCAUAGACGAGUCCGGGCCUCGAACCCCCAGCCCAGCCCCUCCGAUCAGCUUCUUCGAGGCCCGCCCAUAAUCAAGUGUCAGCCUAAGAUGAUACGGCCCAGAGUCGCGAGGAGAGGCCGUGGGCGGGAAGGGCCCAGAGGCAUCAAAAGGCCCAAGGGCCCACUACGGCGUCAACCCACAAGAUUCGUGGGGCCCAUCCAACACCAAGCCCGAGUCCGGAUCCGCAGCAGGACCCGACCCAGAGGACUGCCCCCUCGUCCCAUCGUUAGACUGCAGCCGGACCUCGAGACUUGGACCACCUACCAACCCCCUCAUGCGCCCCCCCGCACGUGCAAUGACUUCACCCCCAACCUCGCCCUCUGAGACAAGCUUGUUUUUACCCUUUCUUUCCCUUUCCAUUCUCACAGCAAGUCUGAUUUCCCACCAAAGAGUAAGCUCAUAGCAAAACUCUUCGGUCCAAACUUCCACUACGUUAGGGGGCCUCUCCUCGUUAAGCUUCACCAAGAUCCUUGCCCACUGCAAAUCUUCCAACGUCUCUGUCUGAGAGUCGAUAUCGAGAAACCCCCCACAGGCAUCCCCUAUUCUCCUCAGAAUAUCCCGCUCCCAUAGUGAGACUGCCAGUCCCACGAUACGCACCCAAGCCUCGCUCCUCUUUUCCCCCUCCAGCAGACACCCCCUCUCAGGCCUCCAUUUUUCCAGACUGAGAGGAGACCCUGCGCACAAGAAACCCCCAAUUUUUAGGGCUUUCUCUGCUUCAGCCAGAACCUCAAAUUCUAAUAGGACUUUGCCCCUUUCCAGCAUCGCUAUUCCUAAAUUACCCUUCAAACUCCAAAAUUUUGCCAAGUUUGUCCCCCAACCCCUCAGGUCAGCUAGGGUUCCAGCUCCCCACCAAGCAGUGAUCCAGCUUCUCCAUAUUCCGGCUCAACUCCCUCUUGCAUAGCUCCACCCUCACCACUGCGGUCUCUCUUCCUUUUGACUGCAUCGCUACUUCCGCAUAGGUUUUCCCCAUUGAUGACCUCAACAACAUCGUGCCCUUUUUUUGUAAGCUCUCUUCUCUGACAUAACACCCCAGACGACGUAGCAUCUCCGCCAUUAACACCCAGCCACUCUUGUCUCCUCUGCCCUUCGGGAUAUAAAUGCUAAACCUUUUUUUUCCAAACCCGUAACCCCUAACUGUAUGAACAGCCCCCCCUUAUUUUGAUCCCUCACCAUAAGAUAAGACCUCCCACUGUCCUUCCACUUCCUUUCCCAGGUUCCAGAUCCUGCGUUCUCAAUACAAGACUCCAGACCAUCAAUGAAGCACCCAAUGUUAUCCAGUCCCAACCUGAUCCACGAGGAGACACCUCCUUUCCUUUCUACAAUCGAGGCUUGUACCUUGCCUUUCUGCUCCCUCACCUCUACAUCAAACCAUUUCGACUCCACUCCAAAGCUUCCCUUUUUGGCCCUGCUCCUAACCCCCACGAAACCGUCGCCUUCUGCAUCUAACCUUGUUUCGCCCUCUAGCCCUUCUGGAGCUCGCCGCUCACCUCGCUCCCUUCCAUCGCUCUCACCCUCUCUCACACUAACCCUCUCUCUCGCUCUCUCGCUCUCUCGCUCAUAGUAUUAAAGGUAGUUUUAGUCAUGUCAUGCACAAUCACACCAACUGAAUGCACCAGAAUAAAAGUUCAAGGUACUACAAGGACAAAAGGAAGAGUAAAUGUAACAUGUGUUAAGGAUGCGACUACAAAGAGACGGCUUGUAAUUUAAUAAAAGACAUAGUACUAGAGAGAGCUUCGUAGUGAACAUAAAUUCAUACUAAGAUUUAUGACUCCAUUAAGUUGUGUAUCUGUACAUCUCUCGAUGUUUUUUGGGCUCAUAUUGGCAGUGAUAUUUAAACUCAAACAUUUAACAAUAUUUCCUUUUCGAUGGGCAAAGAAAAUUUUAUUAAGCAAUGCAAGCUCUAACAUCUAAAUUUUUAAGUAUGGAAAAAGAAUAUUUGAACAAACACAUAGGCUUUUUUUAAAAAAAAAAAUGAGAAACAACAUAGUAAUAUAUUAAAUAAAGAUUAAACGGUACAAAGGAAAGAUGAGAAAUCCUCCCAAAAACAAAGAACUAAACAAGUGGCACCCCCAAAAUACUAAAAAAAAAAACCUAUACUCAAUAAGGCAAUUACACAAAACAACCUCUCCUUACUAGCCCACACCUUUUGGACUUACACACCAACAACCAAUCAAGUUUGAUCACAUUAAGGGGAAUGCCCUUGAAAGUUGUGAUGCAAGUUGCCCAAAAAGAAGCAAGGAAAUGAAUGGUAUCCCAAAGAACCUCUAAAGUCCUUGCCUAAUCCUCAAAAAUUCUGGCAUUUCUUUCACGCCACACAACCCAAAUCAAAGCCAUACAAGCAUUUUGCCACAGUAGAUGAAUUGAUAAAAAAUUAUAUUAUGGCUCUUCGCAGAAAAAACACCAAAAAAAGUAGAUGAAUUGAUAUAAAGUCAUAUUCAUUCAUACACACCGUAUUAUGUUCAAGAAAACUAAUUUUAUGUUUUAACUCUGCAUAAUUCACAUAUACAAUCCAGGAGCUAGUCUAUAGAUUAAACACACCUCCUCCAGUGAAGCAUUUCCAGCUCUUUCACCAAUUCCAUUAAUAGUUACUUCUACUUGUCUUGCCCCUGCACAUGCCCCCUGAAUAUAGACAAACUACUAUGUGAGUUCAAAAUGAUUAAGGUGACCUAAGCAGUAAAUUGGAAAAGCAGAAAACCCAUGGCGCACCGCUAUUGUGUUAGCAGUAGAGAGCCCAAGAUCAUUUUGGCAGUGCGUUGAAAUGAUCACAUUUUCAAUUCCAGGGGUGUUGGAUUUUAUGUCAGCAAUCAAUUGUCCGAAUUCAUUAGGCACGGUAUAACCCACGGUGUCAGGAAUGUUCAGUGUUGUUGCACCAGCCUUGAUAACUUCCCCUAGAAUCUUAUAGAGAAACUCCCUUUCAGAUCUGGUAAGAACCAAAAGAAUAAGAAACAAUUGAGUUAACUAGAAGCAGAUAGGCAAUAGAGUUCAUGUCUCUCUCACUGCAAGUGCCCAAUAUUCAGUGGGGAUAAAAUUUCAUGAUUUAAUCAAUUAAUAAUGUAUGGAAAACAAGGCCAGUAAAACAAAAAUCAAUUUACAAGAUUUUUAUUCCCUUUCUUUGUUCACUGAGAGCUAACAUAAUUGAAUUGUCUGAAACUGAAUAGAAACCAUCUAUUUCACUGGCCAAAAAGAUGGAAUAUCAAUUCCUUUUUGUUUGAAAACUAAAAGAUGGAAGAUCACUCCACCCUAGAAGCAAAAAAUUAUCUUUACCUCUCCACUACCCUUUUUUUUUUCUUUUAUAAGAAACAACACUAUAUAAAAGUAAGAAUGAUUAAAAAUCUUUGACAAAGAGAAAACAAAUCACAGGAGAAUCACCAAGAGAAAAGAAAAAAGAAAAAUCAAAAAUAGAAUGGUCAAUGGAAGGCAAAGCAGGAAGUUCAUUAAGUCUUUGAUCUCUGAGAAGGAGGUGACUUUAAGCAACAUUGAGAUUAUCUCAGAGGAGAUUGUAAAUUUCUUUGGGAAACUCUAAUCCAAACCUGAAGGUGCUUCUUGGAGAGUUGAAGGGUUAGAUUGGGUCCCUAUUUCUAGAGAGAGUACGGUUUGACUGGACAGCCUUUUUCUGAAGAGGAGGUACAAUUGGCAGUUUUCCAAUUGAAUAAGGAAAAGGCCCCUGGUCCUGAUGGUUAUACUAUUGCAGUAUAUCAAGAGUGUUAGGAUGUGAUCAAAGAGGACCUCAUGAGGGUGUUUCUAGAGUUCCACACCAAUGGGAUAAUAAAUCAAAAUACAAAUGCGACCUUCAUUGCUCUAGUGCCUAAGAAAAGCCAAACCAUUAAAAUUUCAGAUUUUAAACCUAUUAGCUUGGUUACAAGUUUAUAUAAGAUAAUUGCUAAGGUCUUAUCAGGGCAUUUACGCAAAGUCCUCCAUGAAACAAUCUUUGGCUCUCAAGGAGCCUUUGUUGAAGAGAGACACAUUCUGGAUGCUGUGUUGAUAGUUAAUGAAGUGGUGGAUAAGAAAAGAAGGUCAGGAGAGGAAGGGGUGGUCUUCAAAAUCGAUUUUGAGAAGGCCUAUGAUUACAUGAAUUGGGGCUUUUUAGAUCAUGUGCUAGAAAGGAAGAGGUUUAGCCCGAAAUGGAGAUCUUGGAUGAGGGGUUGUUUGUCUUCAUCAAGUUUUGCAAUCCUAGUUAAUGGGAAUGCAAAGGGUUGGGUUAAGGCCUCUAAAGGUUUGAGACAAGGAGACCCCCUUUUUCCUUUCCUUUUUACUUUAGUAGCAGAUGUUCUAAGUAGGUUGAUGAUCACAGUAGAGGAAACUGGGCUAACUGAGGGCUUCUUUGUGGGAAGGGACAGGACUAGAGUGUCUUUGGUACAGUUUGCAGAUGACACCAGCUUUUUCUCUAAAGCCUCUCUGGAACAUCUUCAAAACCUCAAGAUUAUCCUUUUGGUUUUUGGGCAAGUAUCAGGAUUAAAAAUCAACUUAGAAAAAAGCACAAUUUCAGGUAUUAAUACAAGGCAGGAGUUGUUGUCUAGUUUGGCCUUGAUUUUUUAUUGCUGAGUGUCAGAGUGGCCUUUGUCUUAUUUAGGUCUUCCAUUGGGAGGGAACCCAAAGACAAUAGGCUUUUGGGAUCAUCUAGUGGUUGAGAGAAUAUCGAAGAGGCUGGAUGGUUGGAAAAAGGCCUUUUUGUCUUUGAGAGGGAGGAUUACUUUAAUUCAGUCAAGUCUGUCUCACAUCCCUAGCUACUUCCUCUCCCUCUUCAAAAUCCCAGUAUCAAUAGCCUCAAAGAUUGAGAAGUUGCAAAGGGAUCAUCUUAUCAAAUGGGAUGUUGUUUGUAGGCCAAAGGAGUUGGGAGGUUUGGGUUUCGGGAAGACUUCUUUGAGAAAUAUUGCUCUCUUAAGGAAAUGGCUUUGUAGGUUCCCUAGAGAAAUGAGUGGUCUUUGACAUAAGGUUAUUGCAAGUAUUUAUGGGACACAUCCUAAUGGAUGGGAUGCCCACAUGGUGGUUAGAUGGUCACAUAAAUGUCCUUGGAAGGCUAUUGCUCAAGUUUUCCAGGAUUUCUCCCCUUUUGUCCGCCUAGUGGUGGGGAAUGGGAAGAGAAUCCGUUUUUGGGAAGAUCUUUGGUUGGGCAACCAAACUUUGUGCUCUCAAUUUGCUGGUCUUUAUAGAGUUAUUUCUGUGAAAAACCUCACUGUCUCAAAUGUCCUUAGCAAUUCCUUUCCACUGUCUUUGAAUUUUAAUUUUCGUCGUAAUCUUACUGAUACAGAAAUUGAUCUCCUUCAGAGAAUCAUGUCCUCCCUUAGUUCAGUGUUUUUCUCUCCUUCUUUGGCAGAUUCAAGAGAUUGGUCUUUGUCAUCAUCAGGCUUGUUUUCAGUGAAAUCUUUUUUCUUGGCCUUGUCAAAAGUCUCAACCGGUGAGUUAUUUGUCUAGGUCGUCUUCCUUAGGCCCAAAAGAGGCGAGGAGGGCUGGUGGGCUUGGCCUGGCUAAUGGAUCAUUGGGCUUAAAGCUGAAAGGAGUGGCAACUAGAGAGGAUGGACCAGAAAUAGGCCCAUCGUCAAGGAGGUGGGCUGAAGAACUGGGUUGCCAUGCCUCAAGCAAAGGCCCAGUCACGUCAAAAGAUUAAGCCUCAAGCAAAGGCCCAAUUAUUUCAAUGGGUUGCCAAAAGUUGAUUGAAUUAGAAGGAAAGGUAAGGGCUGGCCCAGUCUCAACAGCAGCCCAAGCCUCAAGCAAUGACUCUCAGGAGAAGGGCUAUCUGUUGGAAGGCAUCACCUCUAGAAACGGGAACUCCUCAGAGACAGAGCCCUUUGUUGCAUGGGAGUCAGAGGAUCUAAGGAAGCAGCAAACUUUGGCUAGUUAUUCAGUGACAGACAGGGCGCUCAAAGAGGAAGCCUUGAGGUAUGGGUCGGGGUUUUGUUCAAAGGGAGAAAGGGCUUUGGGGGCUUCUCAUCUUAUUCCUUUUCAUUUUGAUCGGGCUCUGGAGGGGGAGUUUUACGAUCGUUUUGGGGAUAUAGAGGAGGAAAUUCGGGUUGAUAAAACACUAUGGUUAACAGUGUAUGAGGGAUACAAGGAGAAGGUCAGUGGCUGUAGGGACUCGGGAGAAACCAAGAGAAGCAGUGAUAAAGUCAGGGGGACGGAGAAGGCCUUUGGCACACCUGAAAUACAAGCAGUGAGAAAUGAGCCUGAGGAAAAAUGGGAAGAGAGUAGUUUGGCAAAAUUCAGUCAUUUCUUGGGAUUCCCGACGGAGGGAUUGGAAAAGGAAAUUCUGAGUUUUUUGAUUAAAAUCAGAAAGAGACGAGAGAAGAUACAUAGUAAAAGGCUUCUGGAAAAGUCAAAGUUCGAAAGGGAGUUAAAGAGGUUGGAGUGUUCUGUAAACUAUGAGGGGGGGAGUAAGCAGAAAGGCUCGAUACAGGGCAAAAGGAGUCAAAUUGUAGCUGUCCAAUGAAGCUAAAAAUCCUGAGCUGGAGCGUGAGGGGAGCAAAUGAUAGCUCCAAAAGAAAAAUUAUGAAGGCGUUUAUAAGGAACUAGAUGGUGGAUUUACUUUGUAUUCAAGAGACAAAAAUUCAAUCUAUGUCGGAGGGUAUUGUGAGAAGUUUAGGCUCUGGGAGAUUUUUAGAUUGAAAAGCUCUAAAUGCGGAGGAGGCUUCAGGAGGAAUUCUAAUUUGCUGGGACAAGAGGUCUCUGGACAUUCUGGAUUGGGAGGAAGGUCAUUUUACUUUAUCUUGUAGAUUUAGGAAUGUAGAAAAUGGGGUUGUUUGGGUGUUCACGAGAGUUUAUGGCCCUUUCUCCAAAGUGGAAAAGGAUGAACUAUGAGAAGAGUUUGGGGCGAUUAGAGGCCUUUGGGAAGACCCCUGGUGCUGCCUAGGGGGGAUUUUAACAUCACUCUGUACCAAAGGGAAAGGAGCAGUCAGAGGAGAAUAAACUUAGCGAUGAGGAGAUUUGCUGAGAUUGUGGAUGAUCUAGGGCUGGUGGAUCUUCCUUUACAGGGGGGAGAGUUCACCUAGAAUGGGGGCCACAAUAACCAGGCUGGGGCAAGAUUGGAUAGAUUUCUUGUGUCCCCUAGCUGGUUAGACCAAUUUCAUGGGGUUACUCAAAGUAGGCUACCUCGGCCGAUUUCCGAUCACUUCCCAAUCAAUCUAGUGGGGGGUGGGAUAAGACGAGGUCCGACUCCAUUUAGAUUCGAAAAUAUGUGGCUUAAGGUUGAGGGAUUCAAAGAUCUUAUACAUAGUUGGUGGCAAGGGAUAAAAGUCAGGGGUAGUGCUAGCUUCAGAUUGGCUGCCAAGAUGAAGGAAAUCAAGUAGAAGCUGAAAGUGUGGAAUAGAGAAGUUUUUGGGAGGCUGGACUGCAACAAAUCUUCAGCCCUGCAACGAGUGGAUUUCUGGGACUGGAUGGAAAGCGAGAGAAGCCUGACUAUGGAGGAAACAGAGUUAAAAAAAGAAGCAAAAUAAAAUUACAAAAAGUGAGUGCUUCUAGAGGAAACUCACUAGAGACAGCUUUCAAGGGAGAUCUGGCUGAGAGAGGGGGAUAGAAACACGGGUUUCUUCCAUCGUAUGGCAAGUGCUCAUCGUAGAAACAAUUCUUUGGACAGAAUUAAGAUCAAUGGGGAUUGGUUUUCAAAGGAGCAGGAGGUUAGGGAAGGAAUUGCUAAUGCUUUUCAUCAGCUGCUUUCAGAAGAUACGAGGUGGAAGGCGGACAUUGGGAGGCUUCAGCUUGAUCAAAUAAGUCAGCAAGAAGUGGAGAAUCUGGAGAGUCUUUUUAUAGAGAAUGAAGUUCAUACGGCUUUGAUGGAGAUGAAUGGGGAUAAAGCCCCUGGUCCGGAUGGCUUUACUAUGACUUUUUGGCAAAGUUGUUGGGACUUUGUUAAAGAGGAGAUCCUAGAAAUGUUCAAGGAAUUCCACGAGCAUAGCUCCUUCCUUAAGAGUCUCAACAAUACUUUUCUGGUUUUGAUUCCCAAGAAAAGUGGGGCUGAAGACCUUGGAGAUUUUAGACCUAUUAGUCUUCUGGGGGGGCUUUAUAAGUUAUUGGCUAAAGUGCUAGCUAACAGGCUUAAGAAAGUGGUUGGAAAGGUGGUAUCCACUUCUCAAAAUGCCUCUGUGAUGGGAAGACAAAUUCUUGAUGCUUCCUUAAUUGCAAAUGAAGUGAUAGACUCAUGGCAGAAACGAAAAGAAAAGGGCCUUAUUUGCAAAUUGGACAUAGAAAAAGCUUAUGACAGCAUCAAUUGGAGGUUUUNNNNNNNNNNNNNNNNNNNNNNNNNNNNNNNNNNNNNNNNNNNNNNNNNNNNNNNNNNNNNNNNNNNNNNNNNNNNNNNNNNNNNNNNNNNNNNNNNNNNNNNNNNNNNNNNNNNNNNNNNNNNNNNUGUUAAAGGUUUUGCAAAAGAUGGGCUUUGGGUCUAAGUGGUUGGGGUGGAUGUGGAGUUGCUUGUCUUCAGCCAAAUUCUCAGUUUUGGUUAAUGGGGUGCCUGUUGGCUUCUUACCUAGCACUAAGGGUCUCAGACAAGGAGAUCCCCUAUCUCCUUAUCUCUUUGUCAUGGGGAUGGAAGUGUUGGAUGCUUUUAUUAGGAGAGCCAUGGAGGGGGGAUUUUUAUCAGGGUGUAACAUUAGGGGUGGCAGCAGAUCCUCUUUGAACAUCUCCCACUUAUUUUUGCUGAUGACACGAUUGUGUUUUGUGAGGCUAGUAUGGAGCAUCUAACUCAUUUAAGUUGGAUUUUACUUUGGUUUGAAGCGGCUUCAGGUCUAAGGAUUAACUUAGCCAAAAGUGAAGUUAUCCCAGUUGGAGAGGUGGAGGAGAUUGAAGAGUUGGUUGUUGAGUUAGGCUACAGGGUGGGGUCCUUACCCUCUCAGUAUUUGGGACUUCCUCUAGGGGUUCCUAAUAGAACUCCUUAUAUGUGGGAUGGGGUGGAAGAGAGAGUAAGGAGGAAACUUGCGCUUUGGAAACGGCAAUAUAUCUCCAAAGGGGGAAGAAUCACUUUAAUAAAAAGUACUUUGGCUAGCAUGUCAAUCUAUCAAAUGUCUAUUUUCAGAAUGCCCAAGAUUGUUGCUAGAAGGCUAGAGAAAGUGCAAAGGGACUUCCUGUGGAGAGGGAGAAAUUUGGAAGGGAAAAUUCAUCUAGUUAAUUGGGAGGUGGUUUGUACAGACAAAGAAAAAGGUGGGUUAGGCCUUAGGAAGCUAGCCAUGUUGAACAAAGCCUUGCUUGGCAAGUAGAUAUGGAGGUAUGCUUGUGACAAAGAUAAUCUUUGGAAACAAGUGAUUACGGUGAAGUAUGGGCAAGAGGGUCUUGGAUGGCGGCCAAAGAAGGCUAAUGGGGCGGUUGGAGUAGGGGUUUGGAAGGAGAUUUGGAAGGAAUCAGAUUGGUGUUGGGAUAACAUGAUAUUCCAAGCUAGGAAGGGCACCAAGAUCAGAUUUUGGACAGAUGUUUGGUGUACUGAUACAGCGCUGUCCCAUUGCUUCCCUCAUCUCUUCGUCAUGGCUGUUUAAAGGAGUUCAACGGUUGAGGAAAUGUGGGACCAAAAUUCUGGUCAAGGAGGUUGGAACCUAAAUUUUUUUAGGGACUUCAAUGAUUGGGAGCUAGAUAUGAUUGGGGAUUUGCUCCAUGUGCUGAGGGGUCAUAGGUCUUCUUUGGAGGAAGACUCAGUUAUUUGGAGGCAAGGAAGAAAUGGUCAGUUCAGGGUCAAGGAAGCUUAUAGCUUGUUGACCAAUCCUAAUGAUACCGGCUUUCCUUCAAGAAGUAUUUGGGUGGCUAGGGUGCCAACUAAAGUCGCCUUCUUUGCUUGGGAGGCGACAUGGGGGAAGGUGCUUACCUUGGAUAGACUCCAAAGAAAAGGGAUGCAACUUCUGAAUUGUUGUUUUUUGUGUGGAUGUGAAGAAGAAAAUAUAAAUCAUAUUCUUAUAUAUUGUAUAGUGGUUAGAGCUUUGUGGGAUAUUGUCCUUGGGUUAGUAAAUGUUAAAUGGGUCUUUCCAGAAACUGUAAAGGAAGUCUUAAUUAGCUGGAGGGGCUCCUUUGUGAGGAAGAAAAGGUUUGGGUAUCCAUUCCGUUGUAUAUUUUUUGGACGGUAUGGAAAGAGAGGAAUAGAUUAGCUUUUAAGGGGGGUGUGUUGAAUAUUCAGAAGUUAAAGAAUUUUUUUGUCUGUAAUUUGUGGAGUUGGGCCAAAUUGUACUUAGGUGAGGAGGCUUUCUCUCUUAUAGGCUUCUUGGAGUGGGUAGCAUCCACUUAAGGGAAGGUGUUUCUUUUUGUCUUUGUUUUUUUUAGGUCCUAGCCGCCUUGUAUACCCCCUGUAUGUUUUGUGGCUUUUUGCCUCUUUAUUAAUGCAUAUCUUUUUACUUAUCAAAAAAAAAGUCUCAAAUCCUAUCUUGUUCCUUCCGGCCAAGUUUUUGUGGAGUUCAAAAGCCCCCUCAAAGGUUAAGGCCCUCACUUGGUUAGUAGUAUAUGAGAAGGUAAACACCAAUGACAAGUUGUCAUUGAGAAGACCCUACAAAUCUCUCUGUUCUCAAUGGUGCAUUCUUUGCAAAGGAAAUGGAGAAUCGAUCGACCACCUUUUUCUUCAUUGUCCUAUUAUCAUUGGACUCUGGCACAAGUUGUUCAAUCUAGCAGGGUUGGCUUGGGUCCCUCCAAGGAGUAUUGUGGACAUAAUGGUUAUUGCCUUUAAAGGUUUUGAGAAUUCAUUAAGAGGCAAGACACUUUGGCAAAUCGUUUACCUCACUUUGUUAUGGAUGGUGUGGCAAGAGAGAAACAAUAGGAAUUUUUAGGAUAAGGGGAGAACGGAAGAGAUGUUAUGGGACUUGCUUCUUUUCUAUUCCUCUCUUUGGGCCUCUUGUACUACAGCUUUUAGUGGAAUUCCUCUUAGUGUUUUACAACUCAACUGGACUAUAGUUUACGUUUCAAAAGUUUGAGUGUUGGGGUUUUUCUUUGUAUUUAGUUUUCUAAAGUUGGGUGUUUUCUCUUUUGUUCAGUUUUGUUUUUGUGGGAAUGGUCUCUCAUCCUUCUCUUAUUUCUUCUUUUUCUCUUGUAUCUCUUCCUUCUCUUGUAUCUUUUCUUCUUUUAAUAUAUUUUUCUUCGUUUCUGAUCAAAAAAAAAAAAAAAAAGUCCCCACAGCACCAAACCUUUGGCUUUGCACCCUAAUGGAAGCAGUGUAUCUUUCUAGUUUGUCAAUCUAUGCUCCACAAGACAAAGCAACCCAAUUACAUUUCCGAUUAGUUGAUCAAGGUUUCCAAGGUCCACAAUCCUCUGUACCCAAUGGUCAUAUAUCUCCAAGAUCCAGAACUGCUAGCAACCAAGAAAAGAACAUGGUUAAAUUCCCCCUCCACAAGUAAAUUUGUCAUACUUAACUCUUCCAACUUUGAAACCCUUAAGCAAGUACUUUUCUCCUAAAAAACU